AAUACGAAGGGACCUAGCGUAGUUCGGAAUUACUGGGCUUAAAGAGUUCGUAGGUGGUUGAAAAAGUUGGUGGUGAAAUCCCAGAGCUUAACUCUGGAACUGCCAUCAAAACUUUUCAGCUAGAGUAUGAUAGAGGAAAGCAGAAUUUCUAGUGUAGAGGUGAAAUUCGUAGAUAUUAGAAAGAAUACCAAUUGCGAAGGCAGCUUUCUGGAUCAUUACUGACACUGAGGAACGAAAGCAUGGGUAGCGAAGAGGAUUAGAUACCCUCGUAGUCCAUGCCGUAAACGAUGUGUGUUAGACGUUGGAAAUUUAUUUUCAGUGUCGCAGCGAAAGCGAUAAACACACCGCCUGGGGAGUACGACCGCAAGGUUAAAACUCAAAUGAAUUGACGGGGACCCGCACAAGUAGUGGAGCAUGUGGUUUAAUUCGAAGAUACGCGCAGAACCUUACCAACACUUGACAUGUUCGUCGCGACUUUAAGAGAUUAAAGUUUUCGGUUCGGCCGGACGAAACACAGGUGCUGCAUGGCUGUCGUCAGCUCGUGUCGUGAGAUGUUGGGUUAAGUCCCGCAACGAGCGCAACCCUCACUUUUAGUUGCCAUCAUUUAGUUGGGCACUCUGAAAGAACUGCCAGUGAUAAGCUGGAGGAAGGUGGGGAUGACGUCAAGUCCUCAUGGCCCUUACGUGUUGGGCUACACACGUGCUACAAUGGCAUCUACAAUAGGAAGCAAGAUGGCGACAUCAAGCAAAUCCUAAAAAGAUGCCUCAGUUCGGAUUGCACUCUGCAACUCGAGUGCAUGAAGCUGGAAUUACUAGUAAUCGCGGAUCAGCGCGCCGCGGUGAAUACGUUCCCGGGUCUUGUACACACCGCCCGUCACACCAUGGGAGUUGGUUCUACCUUAAGGCAAAGUUUAAAACCUUUGACCACGGUAUAGUCAGC
rnacentral:rRNA from 1 species